CAAAAGCUUGGUCCUGGCUUUACUAUCAGCUCUAACCAAACUUACACAUGCAAGUCUCCGCACCCCCGUGAGAAUGCCCUCAUCCCCCCGCUCGGGAUCAAGGAGCUGGUAUCAGGCACGCGUUAUCGCAGCCCAAGACACCUUGCUCAGCCACACCCUUAAGGGAGCUCAGCAGUGAUAAACAUUAAGCCAUAAGUGAAAACUUGACUUAGUUAAAGUAAACAAGGGCCGGUAAAACUCGUGCCAGCUACCGCGGUUAUACGAGAGGCCCAAGUUGAUAGAUAUCGGCGUAAAGAGUGGUUAGGGCACAUUAAAACUAAAGCAAAACACCCCCAAGGCUGUUAUACGCACCCGGAGGAAUGAGUAACCACCACGAAAGUGGCUUUACCCCCCCCCCCUGAACCCACAAAAGCUACGGCACAAACUGGGAUUAGAUACCCCACUAUGCCUAGCCCUAAACAUUGAUAGCAGUCCACUGAGCUGUCCGCCUGGGAACUACGAGCAGCAGCUUAAAACCCAAAGGACUUGGCGGUGCUUUAAACCCAUCUAGAGGAGCCUGUUCUAGAACCGAUAAUCCCCGUUCAACCUCACCCCCCCUUGUUUUCCCCGCCUAUAUACCGCCGUCGUCAGCUUACCCUGUGAAGGUAAAAUAGUAAGCAGAAUUGAUAAAAUCCGAAACGUCAGGUCAAGGUGUAGCAUAUGGGAGGGAAAGAAAUGGGCUACAUUCCCUAUCACAGGGAAUACGAAAGAUGUAAUGAAACUUACACCUAAAGGAGGAUUUAGCAGUAAGUAGGAAGUAGAGAGUCCAACUGAAACAGGCCCUAAAGCGCGCACACACCGCCCGUCACUCUCCCCAAACCCACCUAAACGAUAAUUAAUUAGUUAUAACCCUUUAAGGGGAGGCAAGUCGUAACAUGGUAAGUGUACCGGAAGGUGUACUUGGAAAAAU
rnacentral:ncRNA from 1 species